GACGAACGCUGGCGGCGUGCUUAACACAUGCAAGUCGAACGGAAAGGCCCUGCUUUUGUGGGGUGCUCGAGUGGCGAACGGGUGAGUAACACGUGAGUAACCUGCCCUUGACUUUGGGAUAACUUCAGGAAACUGGGGCUAAUACCGGAUAGGAGCUCCUGCUGCAUGGUGGGGGUUGGAAAGUUUCGGCGGUUGGGGAUGGACUCGCGGCUUAUGAGCUUGUUGGUGGGGUAGUGGCUUACCAAGGCUUUGACGGGUAGCCGGCCUGAGAGGGUGACCGGGCACAUUGGGACUGAGAUAGGGCCCAGACGCCUACGGGAGGCAGCAGGGGGGAAUAUUGUACAAUGGGCGGAAGCCUGAUGCAGCAACGCCGCGUGCGUGAUGACGGCCUUCGGGUUGUGAACCGCUUUCGCCUGUGACGAAGCGGGAGUGACGGUAAUGGGUAAAGAAGCACCGGCUAACUACGUG
rnacentral:rRNA from 1 species